GUACAUUUCAUUUAAAAAAUGCUUUGAAUUUGCAGAACAAAGGGGUGGGGAAGGGUUGGUGUGGUGCUUUUUCUACUUAUGGUGGCAUCUAAAUUUUGGACUGAAAUUUUUGAAGAAGUGGCAACUAUUAUUAUUUUAAAUCCUUAUCCAAGCCUCCCCACAACUUCUCCUUUUGAACUUGUAGGGUGAUCAAACAGCAACUUUCCAAUCUAAGAAACCUCUUAUGUGGAUGGUGGCUGCAGAGAGAACUUCAUUGGUUCAGAGAUGGAAAACACUGCAGGACUUCAACCUCUUAUUGCGGUACAAGAAUAUGUGGAGUUUGGAUUCAUGUUUUAUGGGUGGACAGCAUGCCUAAAAUAAGAAUGGUGCAAGAUGGUUGGCUGAUCCAGACUUGACAGCAUAUAUAUGUGGACAAGGAAAAGAAAGCCAGGCCUCUUCCAGUUUCAAGCCAGUGAACUUCAAAACUAGCUUUAAGUUUUCUAUCAAUUUAGUCAACUAUUCAACUCCCAGAAGAUGUCUCAAUCACAAAGAUAAGUCUCACUACUAUGAAAACAUCUGCCAGAAAUUCCCCUUUUGAAACAGGAUGGGUGUGAAAUGAACAAAACACACAACAGCCAUGUUUGCCUUGGGUGUGUGCACAACUCAGUGGGAGAGUUCUGUUUCUUUUGAUGAGAUCAUGAACUUCACUUACAGCUUCU